CCAGAUUGGCCUGGGGUCUCUGCCAGGGGAAAGGAUGAUGCGUCAUGCCUAGGAAUGGUUAAGGUGGAGUUCUGAGUUUUCAAAAUUAGGGCUAGAUAAAUCCCACCACCUAUCUGUCCUGAUUAUUAUCCAGAGGAGAGGGAAAAAUCCAAUAGAUAAAGGUUUCAUGAAAACAACAAUGAGAUACCACUAUACACCUGUUAGAAUGACUAAAAUCCAGAACACUGACAACACCAAAUGCUGCUGAAGAUAUGGAGCAACAUGAACUCCUACUCACUUUUGGCAAGACUACAGCCAGAACAGCAGCAAAGGGAUUCACCAAGUGAAGGGAAAGAACAUUUGAAGCAAGAGAGAAAUAAUUUCCUAGCAAGAAGGGCUGUGUGAUCAUGGUUCAGCUGGUGAUCCAUUAUGCCUGUUAAGAGGCCAAAGAGAACUGUAGAUCUCUGAGGUCCAUGCGGGCAGAGGCAAGGGAAGAAGAUGAAGGGAACACUGGAAUAAAUGAAGUGCGCUAACAGCUGAAAAAGGCUGAUGGAUGUGCUCUGCACCUCAGAAGACAGAGCUCCCAGCAGGAGAAUAAAGUGUGCAACAGAGCAGAGCCUGCUAGAACCACACAGUUAGAGAACUGAACCUCUAAUAACCUCCCGUUUCAGGAGUUUAUAAUGUGCUAUAAAAACCCCCUGUCUCUAGACUAAAACCCGGCACGACCACACUUAACUGCAUUUUACUGCCAUUGCACAAAUCCCUGAUUCGCCGUUACUUUCUCUUAAAUAGGGCUGGAUCUAUUUUCAGCAUUGCAGGUGCCAAGAUGUUUUGUAAAAAUUUUCCGUAGAGAAUGGAUUUGAUUUUUAAAAUGUAGAAACUGGAUUUCAAUUCUUAAAUUGAAAUGCUGGACUAGGCACCAAGGACAUUUUGAUUAAAUCAUGCCUAUGUUCAGGCUAUUAAUUCCAACUUGGAUGGUGUCUGUAGAUAUAGCAAACUACUUGAAAAGCAGAGAUAUUCUGAGUCUCCAAAGGGUGAAGGUCAUCCGAGCUAACUCUCCUCAGCAGCCUUCAUAAUAAAAUUUGGGGAAACUUUUACUUCUCAUAUAUAUUGGCAGUUCCAUUUACUAUCAGUCAAGAGGACAUAAAAUAUUUUAUUUCAUAGAAGAGCCUAUUGACACUUUAAAAAUAGACCCAAUAAUAGACAUAGUGCUUACAUGUGUAUUUCAAAUGUUGCAGCUGUCAGUAAUGCGUCUUCUUGAACACCUUCACGUGACACAGUUUUAUUUCAUGGUUGGUUACAGUCCAUCGUAACCAACCAAUGGUUGGUUAAAGUCAGCUCAUUGUAUCCCUACUUUCCUUCUCUGCAGCAUUCUCUAUAAUCAGAAUCAAUUAUAACAAACAAAUUCUCGUUAUCUAUUCACUAAUUUCCAAAUAACAGUCUUUUCCUAGGUACAUAGGAUGCUCUGCAAAGUGUAGAAAAAACAGGCUACCAUCAUGGCAGCAUAAUAAACUGAAGUAAAAAACACACAAUCUAGAGAACCAAAAGCCUAAUUAAGCAGUUUACAAUAUUUUAUAUUUUUUCAGAUUUGUUCCUGAAGAAAGGGUCACUUCAAUAGUUUAGCUGUUCCAGCUAAUUAUUUCCACAGUGAAUUGCUAUUCACUCUUGACUCCGUUGGUUUGUUUAUUUUUAAGUUGGGGGCCUUGAAUCAAGCCGGGACUUUCAAUUCAAAGGUCCAAAUAAUGCCCCCUUCCCUUUUUUGAGGAACUAGUGGGCUAAAUAUGCUCUUCUAGAGAAGAAAAGUUUUGCACAACGGGUGGAAAAAUCGUAUAUUUUUUCCAACUUUAAGCUACACGUUGCAUUUUUCUUUCUAUUAUCAGUAAGGCCAGUGAGUGAAGGAUUAAAAAGCCCCUUUACUUUUAACAAUAUUUUAUUAUUUUAACAUCUCAAGACUCAGAGUUCUGGAAAUGGACAAAAUAAUAAACAUAAAAAGAUCCCGCUUGUAUACGAAUCCUUUGCGAGUAUUUUGAUUCUGUUUUUAAGGCUGAACUCUUCUUCUUUGGUUACCUGAAUUAUGGGAUGCUGCAUUGCCUUUUUUCAAAAUCCUUCUUGGGUGCUUUUUGUGCAUUUUGAGCUAUGUAAGUCAAUCGGGGCAGUGAUUAGAGCACACUGGUCUGCAUGUGUUUUUGUCCAAUUUUCUAAAGUACUCUGUAUAGUACAGUUCCAACUGGGAUCUGUUUGGAUAUGGUGCACUUGGGACAUGGAAAAGGGGAGUGUUAUCUUGCCUGGGCAAUGGCUUCCUGGAGGAAUGCCUUGAGUUGAGUCUUGAACAGUCAAUUUGAGUUGCCAAAGCCCUGUUUUUUGCACACAAAUUCCAGGCAGAAGGAUCUAUGAGUGAAAGUUUCCAGAGAUAGGCAGGGUUCAGAUGUAUAAUGGCUUUGCCAGGGCUGGGUGGAGGGGAAAGGGGAACUCUCUGAAAGAUUUUGGACAGGUAACCCCUUGCAUAUGGU